AAAAAAAAAAGUAAACACGAGAGACAUCAGGCGUCAGAUGUAAUGAAUGCACUCAGCAAUGAGAAUGAAUCAUAGAUCACAAGAGGUCACAGAAGGGUUGAGGUGGGAAGGGACCUCUGGAGGUCAUCUGGGCCAACGCCCAUGUUCAAUCUUCUAUAGAUCACAGUGAAGAAGAUGGCAAAGGCACAAUGAAGAAGCACUUGGGCUGUGUCUUGUCCAUGGAGCUUUGUACUGACAAACACAACUUUGUGUCUGUUCCCUGAACAUACUGGCCUGCUGAGUUAAAGGAAUACCAAACUUCUGGCCUAUCUGCAGGAAAGGGUAGCUUCUGGGCCAAACUGCAGGAUUUCUCAAAUAUGUCUCUAAGGUAAGGAAAAGGCAAAGGAAAAGAGAGAGAAUCAAAGGGCAAGCAUGACAGCAGAGGGAGGUGAUACCAGAUGACCUAGCAGAAGAGAGAAUUGAGGUGGUUGAAUGGGGUAUAGCUGUUAAAACGCCAGUUGAUACAGAGGUGACAUGGCACCUUGCAAAGACAAACAACCAAACUUCAUGAGGAUAGGGUCCAUCAAAAAUUUGACCUGCUUUCUACCUUCUAACUUACAGGGUUCCCAAACUUUAUCAGCACUUAAGUGAUUAAACUGCUGCAAGGUAUUGCGCUGACAGGACUCACCUAUUUCAAUUCUUCCCUUCCUGAGGGAGCAAAGUACCUUUAGAUCAAAAAGUUGGGUUGUGUCUUCUUGCAAAAACCCUGAGGAAGGCAGUCUGCUCCAAUAACUUCAUUUUGUUCAAGAUAUUUCCAAAUUCUCCCUUUUCCUUAAUUUGACCUUUUACUGUUAGCACAGUGCAUAAUAUUUGCACACUUGGUAGUACUUAUACUUUGUACUUCAAGUACAAAGUCAAGUCCAUGAAAUACCUACAGCCAAACAGUUUCCUCAGUACUGUACCCC